AGGUUGCGCUGCCGGCCAAUUCUGCUUUCACUAUAAUGGAACGCUUUCUUCACUUUCAAGAGUAAAUGUAACAGAUGCAUCAAAGGUUGCAGAAAUGCUCACUGACACACUAGGCUUAAAAGAAAACCAGGGGUUCGUGCCCACAACAUAAAGAUGCCAACCAUACCUCGCAGCACGGAAGAAGGUAUUGCCCGACAUGCAGUCUCUCCUGACAGCAAAAUUAAAUCAGUAUCGUUAAGUUUUUUUGUAAAAAAAGAGCUGUAUAAACUCAUAA